GGGGAGCAUCAAAAAGUUGAGAUGUUUCCUGAUAUAGUCUUCCUACAAAAAAAUCUGUGUGAUUUCCUGCUUGUGGUUCUUGAGCAAGUUCUACAGGUCUCAAGCUGACAGAUACAUGA